UCUGAGUCUUCUGCCUUUAUUUCCAGGGAGGUGUUCUGGCACUUCUCAAACCUUCCCUCAUUAAGAUCAGCUUCCUCUAGGUCAUUGGGCAUUACAUUAACAUCAGC